AUUGAACGCUGGCGGCAGGCUUAACACAUGCAAGUCGAGCGGAGAUGAGGUGCUUGCACCUUAUCUUAGCGGCGGACGGGUGAGUAAUGCUUAGGAAUCUGCCUAUUAGUGGGGGACAACAUUCCGAAAGGAAUGCUAAUACCGCAUACGUCCUACGGGAGAAAGCAGGGGAUCUUCGGACCUUGCGCUAAUAGAUGAGCCUAAGUCGGAUUAGCUAGUUGGUGGGGUAAGGGCCUACCAAGGCGACGAUCUGUAGCGGGUCUGAGAGGAUGAUCCGCCACGCUGGGACUGGGACACGGCCCAGACUCAUACGGGAGGCAGCAGUGGGGAAUAUUGGACAAUGGGGGGAACCCUGAUCCAGCCAUGCCGCGUGUGUGAAGAAGGCCAUAUGGUUGUAAAGCACUUUAAGCGAGGAGGAGGCUACUGAGACUAAUACUCUUGGAUAGUGGACGUUACUCGCAGAAUAAGCACCGGCUAACUCUGUGCCAGCCGCCGCCGUAACAC
rnacentral:rRNA from 1 species